GGUGAAAAGCACCCCGGAAGGGGAGUGAAAUAGAACCUGAAACCGUGUGCUUACAAGUAGUCAGAGCCCGUUAAUGGGUGAUGGCGUGCCUUUUGUAGAAUGAACCGGCGAGUUACGAUUUGAUGCAAGGUUAAGCAGUAAAUGUGGAGCCGUAGCGAAAGCGAGUCUGAAUAGGGCGUUUAGUAUUUGGUCGUAGACCCGAAACCAGGUGAUCUACCCUUGGUCAGGUUGAAGUUCAGGUAACACUGAAUGGAGGACCGAACCGACUUACGUUGAAAAGUGAGCGGAUG
rnacentral:rRNA from 1 species